AACGAACGCUGGCGGCAUGCCUAACACAUGCAAGUCGAACGAUCCCUUCGGGGAUAGUGGCGCACGGGUGCGUAACGCGUGGGAACCUGCCCUUAGGUUCGGAAUAACUCAGAGAAAUUUGAGCUAAUACCGGAUAAUGUCUUCGGACCAAAGAUUUAUCGCCUUUGGAUGGGCCCGCGUUGGAUUAGCUAGUUGGUGGGGUAAAGGCCUACCAAGGCGACGAUCCAUAGCUGGUCUGAGAGGAUGAUCAGCCACGCUGGGACUGAGACACGGCCCAGACUCCUACGGGAGGCAGCAGUGGGGAAUAUUGGACAAUGGGCGAAAGCCUGAUCCAGCAAUGCCGCGUGAGUGAUGAAGGCCUUAGGGUUGUAAAGCUCUUUUACCCGGGAUGAUAAUGACAGUACCGGGAGAAUAAGCCCCGGCUAACUCCGUG
rnacentral:rRNA from 1 species